GAGAUGAAAUCACUUUAUUACUGAGAAGCUCAUUGAGCUCAUAGGUUUGGAUUGCUGCCCAAAAGAACUUUCUAACACUCUGCUCCUUAGUUAAUCUGAUUUACAACCUCAGUUAAUCUGAUUCACUAGCAUGGCUGGGCUCUUUAGACUUUGCCCUCCUUUGCAGACUGCACAAGGUAGGAGGGCAGACUGGAACACAGACAACCUGAUCAGAGAAAAUGAAGGAAAUUGGGAGAGCUGAAGCAUGCUCACAUACCAGAUCCUUUCCCCAGCUCCCCAGGUGAAUAACUCUGUCCAAGGCCAUGGUUCAUGGUUUGGUGACCUGAGUUUCUGCUAAGUUUGAGCCCCCACUCACCACUAUAUACCUACAUAAAUGUAUAUUCCGCAGACCUGAUCACUUCCCCUACGCUGGGGAGAAAUGAAUGAGGAGGUGGAGGGUGCUAGAGUCCUUCUCAUGCUUGCUCAUUCUGAGAGAUUCACAAUUGCUCUAACUCCUGGAUCCAGCUACGUAUAAAGCCACUUGCACUCGUGAAUUUCUCAAUUGUGAUCAAAUCAAUUCUCUUUCCUUGUUUAAGCAAGUUUGAUGUAGGUUUUUAUUACAAACCUGAAGUUUUGAUGACUAUGUUAGCUAAUUUUCUUAUGUUUAAUAAAAUCAAUUUCAAGAAACACAUAUUAGGUGACUACAGGGAAAUACUAUCUUUUCUAGUGCCAUAAAUGGGCGCCGUCCUUUGAGGAUGCAUUAGAGUUAUUAUUGGAUUUGGAUAUGAUUGACCUUUUGGAAUCUAUAACAUGGUCUUAUCGACAGGCUUUCCAACUUCUCAUCACAGGCUUUUCCAAGUUCUGCUUCACCUUCUCCCUUCUGGGGCAGGAAGUUUCAGAAUUACUGGCCCUAGCACACUGCACCAUUAUUUGGAGUUCCUCUCCCUGCCCACACCUUUUGUAAACAGCCCUUUGAUUAAGCCUCCUUGAGUUAUUCUUUGACUGUAACACCUUUUCCCAUUGGUCUCCUGACUGAGAGCAGAUCAGUCAUUAUGUUAAAUUGACAUAGGCAUACCUUCACUGUCACUAAAAUGUUCUCAACAGAGCUGACACAGUCACUUUUAAAUAUAGCUACUAUACAAAGUCAAAACUUUUGACUAUUUUACCCAAAAGAAACUUUUCACCCACUCCCCCCUGGUCCCUGCCCUGCAAACAAGUACAAAGUUUUGCUAUCUAUUGCCAAUUUUUUGAAAGAAAUAUCUCCCUCCUUUUCCCCGAUUAGAUUAUCAAGAAGAAUAAAACAUACAAACAUCCAGAUAGGAAAAAGUCUUUGCUCAUCUCAGAAUUCUCCAAGUGGUGAGAAAACAUUUAAAAUUUUACUUAGUUAAUUUAAACUCUAAAUAUUGUUUUAAAGUAUCACAUUAAAAAGGAGCUAAAGAAUAAAGCAUUUGUUUGUUUUUGCAGGCGAGGGUUAAUGUGCUGUGGCUUUUUAUGUACUAUUCGCAGAUGAAUGUAUUAUUUCUACCUUUUUCCAUCUUUUUUUAUUCAACCAAAAAAGAAUCUAAAAUGUUAUUUCCAAUUUUCAUUUUAUUCUCAUUUCCUGUCUACUAACUUCGCUUGCUAUUAAAAGAGCACUAUACAUAAUUAAAGUUACCGUUUAGAGGGGCAUUUUAAGUGAUACUGAAGUGCUGCUGAGUUUCUUUCAGCUACAUACUAUAAACAAGUCAAUAACUUUCACCACGAUUCAAAGUAACCAAUGAGAAAAUACAAUGGAAAAAAGACACAUCCCAAGCACAACAGGGUGAAAGGGCAUAAAAAAUUUAUGAGUAUCCUUAACAAGAAAUGCGCAUGACCUAUGUGAACAUAAUUAUAUAACUUUAUUGAAUGUAUACAGAAGAUGAAUAAUAAUAAUAAAAGUUAGCUUUUCUGUGUACUUCAUGCAAGGCCCUCUGUUCUGUGCUUUCCCUCUGUCACCUCCUCAUCUGUGAAGCUGAGAAGCACUGCAGCAGCCAGCAUACUCUUGAGCCUGACUCAGCUUCCUUAACUUCUCUGUGCUCUGAUUUUCCACCUAUAAAACCAGGAGGGCAACCUCAUGACAUAGGCACCAUUAUUGUCUUUUGUCUUUUUGUCUUUUGUUGUUGUUGUUGCUGUUGUUGCUAUUUCUUGGGCCGCUCUCGCGGCAUAUGGAGGUUCCCAGGCUAGGGGCUGAAUCAGAGCUGUAGCCACCGGCCUACGCCAGAGCCACAGCAACGCGGGAUCCGAGCCGCGUCUGCAACCUACACCACAGCUCACGGCAACGCCGGAUCGUUAACCCACCGAGCAAGGGCAGGGACCGAACCCGCAACCUCAUGGUUCCUAGUCGGAUUCGUUAACCACUGCGCCACGACGGGAACUCCCAUAGGCACCAUUAUUAUUAUCAUGCUACAGAGGAAGAAACUGAUAUCAAGGAGGCUAAGGGCUUGCCUAAUAUCAUCCAGCAAGUAGGUGACCAGGAUUCCUACGCUGGCCUGUCCAACUGAAGAGCUAGGCCUCUGUAUUUAUUACAUGCUUGUGUUUCUAGAUGAGAGGGCUAUAACAUUCAUUUUGACACUUUGUAACUCUAGAGUUCAUCUGGUAGAAUUAACAGGUAAAGUAUUUUUACAAUAGAGAAAUAACAGAUUAGUCAUAGAUGAUUGCAUCAAAAUUUUAAAUAUUUCUAUGUUAAAAUGGAAGAUAAUUAGGGUGGUGGAAUGUUCUCUAUCUUCAUUGUAACAGUAGUUACACAACUGUAAUCCUAGCCAAAACUCUGAACGUUUACAUUUACAAGGGGUGAAUUUUAUGUGUGAAAAUUAUUCUGUAAUAAAACUUGGGGAAAAAGAAGAUAAUGAUAACUAAAAAGGGAAGCAAUCAAGUAGGAGUAAAUUUACCCACAUAUAACAAAGAGUUAAUAAGUUUGUUAUAGGAUCAACCAAAGCUACUCAAUCAUACAGCCUGCAAUCCAGCAAUUCCAGUCCCAUGUAUAAAUCAAGGAGUAAGUGCUUAUAUCUGCCAAAAGACAGGUAAAGAAUGUUCAUAGUAGCCUUAUUCAUAAUAGCUCCAAACUGCAAACUACCCAAAUUUCCAUCAAUAACAGGAUGAGUAAAUAAAUUGUGGUAUAUCCAUACAGUGGAAAAUAACUCAGCAAUGAAAAAAAGAAUAAAUGAUAUGUGCAGCAUGGAUGAAUCUCCUAAACAUAAUGUUGAAUAAAAGAAGUCUGACAUAAGAGUUUAUACAGGCUUUCUGUCUAUAAGAAGUACUAUAUAGACUAAACUUAUCUGUGAUGAUGGAGAAUAGAAUACAGGCUAUUUGGGGAAUUCCUGUUGAGGCACAAUAUAAAUGAAUCUGACCAGUAUCCAUGAGGAUUUGGGUUUGAUCCCUGGCCUCACUCAGUGGGUCAGGGAUCUGGCAUUGCCAUAAGCUGUGAUGCAGGGUGCAGACGUGGUUUGGAUCCCGCAUUGCUAUGGCUGUGGCAUAGACUGACAGCUGUAGUUCUGAUUUGACCCUUAGCCUGGGAACUUCCAUUAUGCUGUGGGUGUGGCCCUAAAAAGCACAAAAGUAGAAUUAAAAAAAAAAGAAUAUGGGCUAUUUGGGAUUGGUGACUGCUGACUGGGAGGAGAUAUGGAGGAAACUUCUGGGUGCUAAAAAUGUUCUAUAUCCUUUGCACCUAAAUAGUCAUAGCUGCACUAUUUAUAAUAGCCAAGAUAUGGAAGCAACUUAAGUUUCUAUCAAUAGAAAAAAAAUAACAAAAAUGUGGUGUGUGUAUAUAUAUAGAUAUAGGUAUAAAUAUAUAUAUAUAAUGGAAUACUACUCAGACAUAAAAAAGAAUGAAAUUUUGCAUUUGAAACAAUAUGGAUGGACAUGGAGGGUAUUAUGCUUGGUGAAAAAAAGUCAGAGAAAUGCAAAUACUAAAUGUUAUCACUUAUUUGUGGAAUCUAAAAAAUACAACAAACUAGUGACUAUAACAGAAAAAGAAACAGACUCACAGAUAUAGAGAACAAACUACUGGUUAUUGGAAGGAAAAGGGAAGAGGGGGAGGGUCAAGAUAGGAGUAGAGGAUUAAGAAGUACAAACUACUAUGCAUAAAGCCAAUAAGCUACAAUGAUGUAGAACACCAGGAAUAUAGCCAAUAUUUUAUAGUAACUAUGAAUGGAGUAUAACCUUUAAAAACUACAAAUUACUGUGUUGUACAUCUGAAAAUUAAAUAUCAUAAAUCAACUAUACCUAAAUAAAAAAAUGUUCUAAAUGUUCUAUGUCUUGAUCUGGGCAGAGGUUACAUCGGUGUGUACAUAUGCAAAAAUCUGUUGAACUAUACACUAAGAUAUGUUUACUUUCCUGUAUGUAAAAUACACCUCAAAAAAAUCGAAUCUGAAUUAACAAAUGGACAAAGGACUUGAGUUUGCAAAAGAAGAAAUCAACCUGACUUACCUCUUAUGGACACAUAGAUGCACACACCAUCUCAGUAAUCAGACAAAUGCAAAUUAAAUGUUAUUUUUAAGUUAAAUACCUAUAAUUGAGCAAGAUAGGAAGUUAUAAGGUGGAUGCUGAGAUGAAGGUUUACAUGUAAAUGAUUAUCAAGUUUUUAAAUGAGAAACCAGUAAGGAAGGAAAGGUAGUAGAAUAGGGGAGGGGAGCUCUGGAGUGUAAAUGACACCUCAUAGUUUAUUCUAUCCCAAGGCAAGUGAUCUGGGCUUGUGUACUCCUCUACUACUCAGAAGUUAGCUGUCUACUGCCCUGGGUGAGGGGGUGGGUGGCGGGGGAUGCCAGCUCCCCCCAUCCUACUUCAUUUCUGGUUCUCAGUGCAACCUGCCUAAGGGGCUCUGAUAGCUCAAGAGUAGUUCUCUGAAGAAGGUUUCUGGGAGUUAUGUUAGAGCUAAGUGUUCAAAAGCUGGAGGGAUGGGCAGAUAAAAUAAAACAUAAAAGGGACCCAAGGAAUUCAGGUGGAGUGUUGAUAGUAUCUGCAAUAGGUAUCUUGAUGCCAGGGUAGGGGGUUAGUAACCUGAUGUAUCACCUUGCAUGAGACUGAAAUGACCAAUUAUGACCAACUGAGCAAGUAGAUAAAUAUAGCCAAGAAUAAAUAAAUGGUCUUUCCUCAAACUGCUCUAUCUUUCCAAUAACCUUCACAUACUUUUUAUAUAAAAUAGAUGCUUUGUUGCUAACAUUAGCCAAAGGGAAAUAUUGGAAAUUUAUAGGCAAAGAGGUGAGGAGUUGAUUUUCUCAGAAAACUUUCAGAUCCUAUUCAAAUUCUAGAAUUUGAGGAGUCAUGUAUGUGCCACUGGGGGUGUGUGUUUGUUUUCUCUAGCAGGUCUAUUUGGUCAACCUCCAUUCGUUUUUUUUUUUUUUUUUUUUUUUUUUGGUCUUUUUGUUUUUUCUAGGGCCGCUCCCGCAGCAUAUGGAGGUUCCCAGGCUAGGGGUCGAUUCGGAGCUGUAACCACUGGCCUACACCAGAGCCACAGCAAC
rnacentral:lncRNA from 1 species